ensembl:lncRNA
UAUAAUCAUCUAGUGGGCUGGAUACUCUGGCUUCUUGACUAGCAUGUGCUUUCCCUACAGGCAGAUCUAAGUGGGAAGCCAAAUUAUCAUCAGAGGGCGGCUUGGUGAGCAUGGAAUCAGGCCAGGGGAGUUCGUUAUGAGAUUUGGCAUUCCUGAGCUUUUUAUUCUUUAUACCAAGCAGCGCUGAGAAGCACAGACUCGCUGACUGUGGCUGGCUGCCUCUGCUCUUGCUGUUCCCUCCGACUUUCCAUUGUUCCCUCGGGUGAGCUACGUGUAAAGCAGGACCCAGCUCAACCACCUCCUCCUCUGGAAAGCCUUGAUCUUCCCCCAGACAGAGGCCAUCAAGAUACAUUCUUCAGUGACAGGAAGGCAGGACCUGCUACACCUGGGUUACACAUCUCAAAGCCAUCAUGCACGGGAGAAGGGUUAUUCCCUAUUGCUGGAUGGAUGCAGCCUUUGCCUUGGAAUCUGGGGAGUGAGACGUGCCCUUUGACCUCAGGCAUACCUGCAACACAGUGUGCUGUGAAAUUGUGUAGGAAGACUGCUUCUCCAUAUUUCUUUCCCUCCUUUAUCCUGUCUCCUCACUGAAGAGAGGAUGCAAACAAAGACGUGCAGGUUUAUAUUAAACAUCUUUGGUGGAUGGCGUGUCUGUCUGCUCUCCUCUCAGCUCCCUAGCAACAGCUAUGUCAUGCUUUUUUAAAGCUUUUCAUGGCAAUUCUAGCAUUUCUGGGAAGAUCUCUCUCCAGGUUUUUUGUCUCUCGGUGUCUUUCCCUCUGCCUGUGUCUGUUUCUCCUUCUCCCCUUUCCUCCCCUGCCUCUCUGUCUCUGUGUCUCUGCGUGUUUCUUUCUCUCUGCUGUGACUUCCCACAUUAGCCACUGUCCAUUUCUUUGAUUCCUUCUUGGCAACAAGAGCUACAGCACCAUUAUGCAGCAAGCAGUCCUGCUUCCCUGCUACCUUAAAAUAAUAAUGUUUCAUGGUGACAAAUGGCUGUAGUGAACAAUGAAGGUAGAAUGCUUAGCAGGCAGGGGUGUAACCGGGUCAGAUUUCUCUGUCUGGCAAAAACCAGAGCGUAUUGUGAGAAUACCUAAAGAAAGAUAUAUAUAUAUAUAUAUAUAUAUAUAUAUAUAUAGGGGAAAGCUGGUGAUAUUUAUUUUUGUUUUUAAACUUUUUCUAUUGGGGUGUAGUCGAUUAACAAUGUUGUGAUCGUUUCAGGUGAUGCUACUGUUUUAUUUUUAAUUUAGCUUCUGUAAAUUGCAAAAGUAAGUUCUCAAAGGCAGAACAAUGGUUAUUCAUAGUUUACUAAGGUUUUGUCAUAAGAAACUUAAAAAAAAAAGAUUUAAAAAUCUUGUUUUACAUUUUCUGUUUUUCUUUGAUUAAAAAAAAAAUCAAAACCCAAAAUAAGAUGGUCUGAAUUGGUGAAGGCAUAUAAUUUUUUUUGUACCCCAGUGGCUGAAGUUUCCACAUUGUAUCAAAAAAGCCCCAAUUAAAGUAAAGAAAAAAAAAAGAAAAUGAUUUUUUCUAGACCUCCUUUCCCUUUCUACCACUAAGGGGAGGAAAAAAAUCCUAAUAUCCAAGAGAUCUU